rnacentral:rRNA from 1 species
GAUGAACGCUGGCGGCGUGCCUAAUACAUGCAAGUCGAGCGAACAGACGAGGAGCUUGCUCCUCUGACGUUAGCGGCGGACGGGUGAGUAACACGUGGAUAACCUACCUAUAAGACUGGGAUAACUUCGGGAAAACGGAGCUAAUACCGGAUAAUAUAUUGAACCGCAUGGUUCAAUAGUGAAAGACGGUUUUGCUGUCACUUAUAGAUGGAUCCGCGCCGCAUUAGCUAGUUGGUAAGGUAACGGCUUACCAAGGCGACGAUGCGUAGCCGACCUGAGAGGGUGAUCGGCCACACUGGAACUGAGACACGGUCCAGACUCCUACGGGAGGCAGCAGUAGGGAAUCUUCCGCAAUGGGCGCAAGCCUGACGGAGCCACGCCGCGUGAGUGAUGAAGGUCUUCGGAUCGUAAAACUCUGUUAUUAGGGAAGAACAAAUGUGUAAGUAACUAUGCACGUCUUGACGGUACCUAAUCAGAAAGCCACGGCUAACUACGUG